rnacentral:rRNA from 1 species
AGCGAACGCUGGCGGCAGGCCUAACACAUGCAAGUCGAACGAACCCCUCGGGGUUAGUGGCGGACGGGUGAGUAACACGUGGGAACGUGCCCUUAGGUUCGGGAUAACUCAGGGAAACUUGUGCUAAUACCGAAAGUGCCCCUUGGGGGAAAGAGUUAUCGGCUUUAGAGCGGCCAGCGUCUAAGUAGCUAGUUUGUGAGGUAAUGGCUCACCAAGGCUACGAUCAGUAGCUGGUCUGAGAGGAUGACCAGCCACAUUGGGACUGAGACACGGCCCGAACUCCUACGGGUGGCAGCAGUGGGGAAUCUUGCGCAAUGGGCGAAAGCCUGACGCAGCCAUGCCGCGUGGAUGAUGAAGGUCUUAGGAUUGUAAAAUCCUUUCACCGGUGAAGAUAAUGACUGUAGCCGGAGAAGAAGCCCCGGCUAACUUCGUGCCAGCCGCCGCGGUAAGAC